AACCGUGUGAGGAGCACAAAGCGAACUAUUCUUUCGCCUUUUACUAAAGAAUACCGUGUGCUCUUCACUGAUAGCGGUAUACACAUAUUUUUGAAAGUGUUCUCUAAAUAGAGAGCA